GGCUGUCAGUAAGAUGGGGGGGGGUUUGCAGGACCUGGCAGCUUGGUCCUCUAAGAGGCCGUCAGUAGGAUGGGGGGUCUGCUGCUAGGUCCUAAGAGGCUCAGUAGGAGGGGGGGGGUGGUCUGCUGCUAGGUCCUAAGAGGCUCAGUAGGAGGGGGAGGGGGGGGGGGGUCUGCUGCUAGGUCCUCUAAGAGGCGGUCAUGGUACCAUUCCUCCUGGACAGGCUGUCAAACGGCAGGCCCACCUCCCUCUCCUCCAGGUUCAUGUCUGUGGAGUCAUUGCGCAGC